ensembl:lncRNA
CCGGGAGCUACUUCUUGCCCUUCGUCCACUGGCAGUAAGUGACAAUAUUCUGCACAUUCCCCGAUCGCUGCGAAUAAAUAGCUUACAGGCUGCAGCAAGUGGAAUAUUGUCCAAAAAACAACGGAGGAAGAGAGGAAGGAGGGGAGGCAUUCAACGCAGACUGAGGAAAUAUGGUCUAAGGGACAGACGCCGGCUCCCAGCGCUACCAACUAUUCUUCUCUCAAACGUUCAAUCCAUUCGCAACAAGAUGGAUGAACUGGAGGCUUAUGCUAGAUGUAAGCAUGACUUUAGAGAAACAUGCCUGCUGGCCUUUACCGAGACGUGGCUGGGAGACGCGGAUCCUAACGAGGAUCUACAUAUAACCGGCUUCAGGUACCCUGUUCGUAUGGACCGGUCGCCUCUCAUAACAAACAAAUCCCGCGGAGGCGGAGUGUGUUUUUACAUUAAUGAGAGGUACUGUAAUACUGUCGUGGUCCGGGAAAAAAUAUGUACCCCAGACCUUGAGCUGCUAUCCAUCUCAAUUCGCCCCUUCUACUUGCCGAGGGAGUUUCCCCAGCUUUUCUUCACCCCUGUUUACAUUCAUCCGCGGGCGAACGUCGCGUCAGCCAAUCAGCUGAUCGCGGAGGUGACCAACAGACUGGACGCUUUUUCCCCCGACGCUCCAAAAUUCAUUUUAGGAGAUUUUAAUCAUUGCCAGGUUCAGAAGACAUUGAAAACAUAUGAACAGUAUGUUACCUGUGCAACUACUAAGAAGAACUCCACUAUUGACUUGUGCUAUGGCUCAGUACCUGGCGCUUUCAGAUCACUGCCUCUGCCUCCUUUUGGAGCCUCCUAUCACAAUAGUAUACUCCUUGUGCCGAUUUACAAGCCCAUCUGUAAGCGACAAGAGCAAACAGUUAUAUCAGUUAAAUGCUGGACGGAAACCAGCAUUGCCAGUCUACAAGCUUGCUUUGAUUGUACAGAUUGGGAUGUAUUCUAUAGCUCAUGCUCUGACUUAAAUGAUCUGGCUCAAACAGUUUCUUCUUACAUGUCCUUCUGUGUGGACACCAAUAUUCCCUGUAAAAAUAUUACAGUCUUCCCUAAUAACAAACCAUGGGUUACUAAAGAACUAAAAAAUGUCAUAAACAAGAAGAAAAGCAUUUUUUAUACAGGGAAUAGCCAGGAAAAGAAAGAAAUUACCAGGGAAGUAAGGAAUGAGAUAAGAAAAGCUAAAAGACUGUAUAAGGAUAAGGUGGAACAUAAGUACAGUGGUGGUGAUCUUCGGGCAGCUUGGAAGGGAAUUAAAUCCAUGUCCUCAAUCAAUCAGGGAAACAGUGACAGUGAUAGGAAACCUCUUAACAUCGAGGGAAUAAGUGAUGCAGAUCUCCCAAAUACUUUUAACGAUUUUUAUUCCCGUUUUGAAAAACAUGAUUUUUCUAGCAAUAUCUCUCUCCUUAGACAGUCCCUCUCUUCUGAUUGUGAUAUUGUCAUCAGUCAGGAAUGUGUUAGAGAUCUUCUAAAACGUGUAAACAUCAGGAAGGCCCCUGGUCCAGAUCACAUCUGUGGGCGCACGCUGCAUUACUGUGCUGACCAGCUUAGUAGUGUCCUUCACCAUAUCUUUCAGAGAUCACUUGAUUCUAAUCAAAUCCCCGCUAUCUGGAAAACAUCCACUGGGAUACCUGUCCCAAAGAUCACUAAUCCAAGGCAACUUAAUGAUUUUAGACCAGUUGCGCUAACAUCAUUAAUAAUGAAAAUCUUAGAGAAAAUUUUAAAAAACCUUGUUUUAUCUAUUGUGGAUGAAAAACUUGAUCCACUUCAAUUUGCUUACCAGUCAGGGAGAGGUGUUGAGGACGCAAAGCUUUUAAUACUCAAUAACUUGUACAAACAUUUAGAAAAGCCUCAAGCCCAUUUCAGGCUCUUGUUCGCAGACUUUUCAUCGGCAUUCAACACGAUGCAGCCGCAUCUUUUAAUAGAAAGGUUGCUAUAUGAUUUUAAAUUACCUCAUCAGAUUGUGUUAUGGAUUUUGGACUUCUUGACUGACAGAGUGCAGAGAGUGUCUGUAAAUGGCAGUUUCUCCGAUUCUCUAAUUAUGUCCACAGGCUCGCCACAAGGGUGUGUCCUUUCGCCCUUACUUUUUAUUAUGUAUACUGACGGAUGCAGGAGCAGUCAGGAGGGCAGCAGCUAUUUGGUCAAAUUUUCUGACGAUACCGCGUUAUUGUCCCUUCUCCAAGGCUCAGAAUCAGACCACGGGAAUGCUCUCACUGAUUUUAUUUCUUGGUGUGAUGAUAACUUCUUGGACUUAAAUGUUUCUAAAACCAAGGAACUGAUCAUUGAUUUUAGACGGAACAGGAAUACAGCCAAAGAGUGUAUCAUACAUAAGCAAAGUGUGGAAAUAGUAACAUCUUAUAAAUAUCUGGGAACUAUUUUCGAUGAUCACCUUAAGUUUGAUGUAAACACUGAGGCUAUUGUGAAGCGAGGGCAACAGAGAAUUCACCUUCUCCGCAAACUAAAUUCCUUUUCUGUAAGUCCUGUCAUCCUCUGUCGUUUUUAUCAAUCUUUUAUUGAGAGUCUCCUGAGCUUUUCUUUUAUUUGCUGGUUUCACAGCCUCACAGUAAAAGACAGAAACAGCCUGAACAGUAUAGUUAACAUCUGUUCUAAGAUCACCGGAGUAAAACAAAGGGACUUGAAUUCUUUUUGCAAUCGGCAAAUCAUUAAGAAAGCAGCAGGUAUUUUGGCUUCUUCUGGUCAUACUCUUAAAAGUGAAUUCUCUCUAUUGCCAUCAGGGCGUCGCUACGCUUUACCUGCUUGCAGAACAAACUGCCAUUCCAAGUCGUUCAUCCCCUCUGCAAUUCGACUACUAAAUGCUCCGUAGUUGUGUAUGUGUAUUUGUUGUUUGUAUGUUACUGUGUCUGUAUGCAAGCUGCUCAAACAAAUUGCCCCUAGUGGGAUAAAUAAAGUUGUAUUGUAU